GGAAAAGUGAAAGUAACAGACGGCACGCCUGACCUUCCAACGAAAAAAUUCUAGUAGCUUAAAGAAACUCCUUUUUAUUUUCAAACAGAUGCGAUGCAAAUCAAACAGCGUUCGUGAUGUGGCUGGCCUUGAACACUACCUGCAACAACGUGACAAUGGCAGGAGCCCAACCCAGUCAAGAAGAAACGAGUUGCUUUUUUUUGUGUGUUAAAACUUGCAAGCGAAAGUCAUUUCCUCACGUUCCCACCGUCGAUGCUCAACACAACCACCAACCUCGCUCCAAGAAAAACAUCAUCUGACGACGGCGAGGUCAAAGUAAAAUGGAGAAAAGUAAAAAAAGAAAAAGACACAAUCUAAAUACAAAAGUAAAAAGCGAAAGGCUUGGCUCUCGGCUGACCUUGAAUCGCCUGAAAAAAUUCUGUUCGCCUUUCUCUUCCAUCUUGAAAGUGCCGCAGGGACAUAAGCCAAGAGAAUUUUUCGCUCUUCAUCAAAUCUUAUAUAUAUUUCGUAGAAGAAAAUGAUGGAAUCAACUGUUACUUUGGUUACUUUCUAACGUCAGUCUCUACAAUCUUUUUUCGAAAGUUGUUACCUCUCUGACAAGAGGCCGAGAGAAUGAAAGAAAGUUUGGACCACUUUCUCCCGCCAUUCAGCAGAGCUUUUCAAUGAUUGCACAUCUUUUUUUUAUAUUGUUUAAAAUUAAAUCUAAUCAAAUAUGGACGUGAAAUUUUAUUUGACUUGGGUAGGUACCAGUGGUGGUUCUUCAAUAACUGGCGUCAAGGACAUUUGAAAGGGUCUUUUUUGUCCCUAUUCAAGGCCACGCGAAAAUGUUGGGAGAUGUAAAUGGCCCUGGACUGUCUCCCCCCCCCCCUUCUCUUUCCCCCCCCCCUCUCCCUUUCUCUUGUGUUUCUCUCAACAUUUACAUAUUUUUCCUUUCACACAGAUUUUUAUUCUUUUUUAAACAUUUGCAAGAACAUCUUUGACGACCUUGAUUUUGAUUGAAAUAAGAAUUAAAUUAAAUCAAUUCCGUAAAAGGGGUUUGUUGGAAAGAGAAAGCUUUUGAAAAUGUAGAGAGAAAGGGAAUUAUAAAUUUCUAUGGUGGCGUAUGCCAAAGAGUUUUGGGGGGGAAAGGAUGACGACAAAAAUCGGGUCAAAUUCGUGCAGCGUAACGAUUUCGCUUACGAGAGAAAACAUCAACGUCGCGCCACUUUCACUUUGUCUUGAUCAUUGAGAGCACACUGUCCCUCAACACCAGUGAAAGCUUUUCAUAUUCACCUUUAAAUUUCAAUUCAAUAAUCUCUUUUCAAAAAGAACUUUCACUAUGGUAGAUUUUAAUCCGAAUAAUUAGGGAUUAAAUACUUGAUUAAAUCUUACCUUUUUUUAAAAUUGUUAAUCAAAUUGUAAUCGAUGGCAAUGACGGAAUCCGAAUGGUUAUCCUCGUGCAAUCAAUGCAGCACAUGUAGAUGACACACAGCUCUAAUAACACUGCGCAACCGGAGCAGCACACAUUCAGGUGAAAAAACAAACGCCACCGAGUGAGAUAAAAAAACAGCCGCUAUAUUUAAA